UUAAGGAACUCGGCAAAAUACCCCCGUAAUUUUGGGAGAAGGGGGACCCCUUACUGUCAUCACCCUUGUGGUGGGCAGCGGUGGGGGGUCGCAGAAACCAGUGAGAAGCGACUGUUUAUUAAAAACACAGGUCCGUGCGAAGUCGUAAGACGAUGUAUACGGACUGACGCCUGCCCGGUGCUGGAAGGUUAAGAGGAUCGGUCAACCCCUUUUGGGGGGUGAAGCUGAGAAUUUAAGCCCCAGUAAACGGCGGUGGUAAUUAUAACCAUCCUAAGGUAGUGAAAUUCCUUGUUGGGUAAGUUCCGACCUGCACGAAUGGCGUAACGACUUCUCAACUGUCUCAACCAUAGACUCGGCGAAAUUGCACUACGAGUAAAGAUGCUCGUUACGCGCGGCAGGACGAAAAGACCCCGGGACCUUCACUACAACUUGGUAUUGGAGUUCGUUACGGUUUGUGUAGGAUAGGUGGGAGAUUGUGAAGCAUUAACGUUAGUUAGUGUGGAGUUAUUGUUGAAAUACUAUUUUGAUCGUAUUGGGCUUCUAAUUUUGAACCGUAUAUUUGGUUCAGGGAUAGUGCCUGGUGGGUAGUUUAACUGGGGUGGUUGCCUCCUAAAAUGUAAUGGAGGCGCCCAAAGGUUCCCUCAACUUGGAUGGUAAUUAGGUGUUGAGUGUAAGUGUAUAAGGGAGCUUGACUGCGAGACGUAUAUGUCGAGCAGGGAUGAAAGUUGGGAUUAGUGAUCCGGCACCCCUGAGUGGAAGGGGUGUCGUUUAAUGGAUAAAAGGUACCCCGGGGAUAACAGGCUGAUCUUCCCCAAGAGUUUAUAUUGAUGGGAUGGUUUGGCAUCUUGAUGUCGGCUCGUCGCAUCUUGGGGCUGGAGUAGGUCCCAAGGGUUGGGCUGUUUGCCCAUUAAAGCGGCAUGUGAGCUGGGUUUAGAACGUCGUGAGACAGUUUGGUCUCUAUCCGCCGCGCGCGUCAGAAGCUUGGGGAAAUUUGUUCCUAGUACGAGAGGACCGGGACGGACGAAUUUUUGGUCUACCAGUUGUCCCAUUAGGGGCAUUGCUGGAUAGCUACGUUCGGAUAGGAUAACCGCUGAAAGUAUUUAAGCGGGAAACCCCUUUCAAGACCAGGCUUCUCACCCAUUAAGUGGGAUAAGGCCCCCCGUAGAUUAUGGGAUUGAUAGACCAGACCUAGAAACCCAGUAAUGGGUGUAGGGAACUGGCAUUAAUUGGCCGAAAAUUUAU
rnacentral:rRNA from 1 species